rnacentral:rRNA from 1 species
ACUCGACUGCAUGAAGUCGGAAUCGCUAGUAAUUCUGGAUCAGCAUGCCAGGGGUGGAAUGCGUUCCCGGGCCUUGUACACACCGCCCGUCACACCAUGAGAGUUGGCAACACCCGAAGUCAGCAGGCAAACAGUGAAGCCGCUGCCGAAGGUGGGGUUGAUGAUUGGGGUGAAGUCGUAACAAGGUAGC